rnacentral:rRNA from 1 species
GAUGAACGCUGGCGGCGUGCCUAAUACAUGCAAGUCGAGCGAACAGACGAGGAGCUUGCUCCUUUGACGUUAGCGGCGGACGGGUGAGUAACACGUGGGUAACCUACCUAUAAGACUGGGAUAACUUCGGGAAACCGGAGCUAAUACCGGAUAAUAUUUCGAACCGCAUGGUUCGAUAGUGAAAGAUGGCUUUGCUAUCACUUAUAGAUGGACCUGCGCCGUAUUAGCUAGUUGGUAAGGUAACGGCUUACCAAGGCAACGAUACGUAGCCGACCUGAGAGGGUGAUCGGCCACACUGGAACUGAGACACGGUCCAGACUCCUACGGGAGGCAGCAGUAGGGAAUCUUCCGCAAUGGGCGAAAGCCUGACGGAGCAACGCCGCGUGAGUGAUGAAGGUCUUCGGAUCGUAAAACUCUGUUAUUAGGGAAGAACAAACGUGUAAGUAACUGUGCACGUCUUGACGGUACCUAAUCAGAAAGCCACGGCUAACUACGUGCCAGCAGCCGCGGUAAUACGUAGGUGGCAAGCGUUAUCCGGAAUUAUUGGGCGUAAAGCGCGCGUAGGCGGUUUUUUAAGUCUGAUGUGAAAGCCCACGGCUCAACCGUGGAGGGUCAUUGGAAACUGGAAAACUUGAGUGCAGAAGAGGAAAGUGGAAUUCCAUGUGUAGCGGUGAAAUGCGCAGAGAUAUGGAGGAACACCAGUGGCGAAGGCGACUUUCUGGUCUGUAACUGACGCUGAUGUGCGAAAGCGUGGGGAUCAAACAGGAUUAGAUACCCUGGUAGUCCACGCCGUAAACGAUGAGUGCUAAGUGUUAGGGGGUUUCCGCCCCUUAGUGCUGCAGCUAACGCAUUAAGCACUCCGCCUGGGGAGUACGACCGCGAGGUUGAAACUCAAAGGAAUUGACGGGGACCCGCACAAGCUGUGGAGCAUGUGGUUUAAUUCGAAGCAACGCGAAGAACCUUACCAAAUCUUGACAUCCUUUGACCCUUCUAGAGAUAGAAGUUUCCCCUUCGGGGGACAAAGUGACAGGUGGUGCAUGGUUGUCGUCAGCUCGUGUCGUGAGAUGUUGGGUUAAGUCCCGCAACGAGCGCAACCCUUAAGCUUAGUUGCCAUCAUUAAGUUGGGCACUCUAAGUUGACUGCCGGUGACAAACCGGAGGAAGGUGGGGAUGACGUCAAAUCAUCAUGCCCCUUAUGAUUUGGGCUACACACGUGCUACAAUGGACAAUACAAAGGGCAGCGAAACCGCGAGGUCAAGCAAAUCCCAUAAAGUUGUUCUCAGUUCGGAUUGUAGUCUGCAACUCGACUACAUGAAGCUGGAAUCGCUAGUAAUCGUAGAUCAGCAUGCUACGGUGAAUACGUUCCCGGGUCU